rnacentral:tRNA from 1 species
CAUAGCUCAGUUGGUAGAGCACAUGACUUUAAUAACUUCAAGACGAGCUGUGGUCCAAAGGUCGCUGGUUCAACUCCUGCUCCAA